UGUUCUGAAUAAAAGCUUUCCAAUUUUCUAUAUCUCAAUAGACAAUAUUAUUUCCAAAUAGACAGGUCAAAGAUGACUCCAAUAUUGUCCUCUUUCUCUAAAAUGUUUCCUUUUUCUGUAAAACCAACAAAACAGAACCAGAAACUAUCAGGCAGCAACCAUUGUCACUUUCGUAUUUAUUCUUUUCUUCCACACUAAAAAAAAUAGCUAUACAUAACGUUUGACAUCUGUUUUUUUUUCAUAUACUAUAUUUUUGAGACCUUUCUAUAUCAGUUAAGUAUUAAACUGCCUCAUUUAAAAAAUCAGUUUCAUUGAGGUAUAAUUUACAUGGAAUAACAUGCAAAGAGCUUUGACAAAUAUAUACACCCAAGUUGGUAAUACCCUUGUUAGGAUUUAGAUAUUCCCAUCACUGUGGAAAUUUCCCUUAUGCCUCUUUAUAGUUCGUUCCUCCUAUUCCCCAUCAAAGCAACCACUGAUCUGAAUUCUUUAAAUAUAAAUUGGUUUAGCCUGUUCUAGAAGUUCAUGUAAGUGGACAAAUAUAGUAUGUACUCUUGUCUGGUUCCUUUCACUUACUAUCAUGCUUUUGAGAUUUGCUUUGUUUGCAGGUGUUGGUAAUUCAGUCCUUUUUAUGGCUGAGCAUUAUUUCAUUGUAGGAACAGAUCGAUCUGCUUACCAGUUCUCCUGUUGAUGGACGUUUGAUUUGUUUCCAGUUUUUUGGCUAUCAUGAAUAAAGCUUCUAUGAACAUUCAUGUAAGGAAGUUGUAACUCCAUCCUAACAUCAAGUAAAAAGCUGAAUAAACUGAAAAUGAACAACUCAUAUCUAUCAGAGAAUUGAAGUCACAGGGCAAACUGCUGCCCCCAAAUGGAAGAGACAGGCAGCUACAAAAUCACUACUUAUUGGAGCAGAAAGCCCACAAGGAGCAGACACUCCUGUGAGGGACCAGUAUCCAGUUAUUUCUGCAUCCUGGCACUGGGUAGUGAUGUCAGAUGAAUUUCUUAUUAUGCAAGCAGAUGAAGCAGCAGAGGGAAGGAGCCAUGGGGUAAAGAGUCUGAAAAUGAAGACUGGGACAACUCAGUGAGUGCCAAGAUUGAGUUCAAAUUCCAGCUCUACCACUGACGGGCUGAGAGUCCUCAAUCAAGGGAUGGUGACUGGUACAUGGAAAGAAUAGCAGCUACUUGAGUUUCUUUCCUCCCUUUCCACCCACUCCCCUAAAAAUGGGAGGAAUCAGACCUUCCUUGACUGGGUCAGAGCUUAAGUGAGAACAGAAAAAAGAGGAAGAAGAUAGAGGAAGGAGCUGAGAAGUUGUUUAUAUUCACAUGCAAACUGAAUAAACCAAUCCCAGAGUUAGCCCUCCAGUCACUUUGUCUGCUAUAAUAAUAAAUUAAAAUUGCUACAUGGAUCAUCAAGCAGGAAUCUCAGCUGAUUCUGAAGAUGCUCAAAAUUCAUAUUCCGUUUGGAUACUGAAUAGUCUUCCUACCCACAGAGAAG